rnacentral:rRNA from 1 species
AACGAACGCUGGCGGCAUGCCUAACACAUGCAAGUCGAACGAGACCUUCGGGUCUAGUGGCGCACGGGUGCGUAACGCGUGGGAACCUGCCCUUAGGCUCGGAAUAACUCCCCGUAAGGGGUGCUAAUACAGGAAAAUGUCUUCGAAUAAAAGAUUUGACGCCUUUGGUUGGGCCCGGGUUGUUUUGGCUUGUUGGUAGGGAAAAAGCCUACCACGGCGACGAUCCAUAGCGGGUCAGAGAGGAUGAUCAGCCUCACUGAGACUGUGACGCGGCCCAGACUCCUACGGGAGGCAGCAGUGGGGAAUAUUGGACAAUGGGCGAAAGCCUGAUCCAGCAAUGCCGCGUGAGUGAUGAAGUCCUUAGGGUUGUAAAGCUCUUUUACCCGGGAUGAUAAUGACAGUACCGGGAGAAUAAGCUCCGGCUAACUCCGUG